rnacentral:rRNA from 1 species
CAUGCAAGUCGAACGAAGGCCCUAGCUUGCUAGGUGUCCUUAGUGGCGCACGGGUGAGUAACACGUGGGAACAUACCUUAUAGUACGGAAUAACUGCGGGAAACUGUAGCUAAUACCGUAUAUUCCAGUAAUGGGAAAGAUUUAUCGCUAUAAGAUUGGCCCGCGCAAGAUUAGCUUGUUGGUGAGGUAAGAGCUCACCAAGGCUUCGAUCUUUAGCUGGUUUGAGAGGAUGAUCAGCCACACUGGGACUGAGACACGGCCCAGACUCCUACGGGAGGCAGCAGUAGGGAAUAUUGGACAAUGGGGGAAACCCUGAUCCAGCAAUGCAGCGUGAGUGACGAAGGCCUUAGGGUUGUAAAACUCUUUCAUCGGUGAGGAUAAUGACAGUAGCCGAAGAAGAAGGACCGGCUAAUUCCGUGCCAGCAGCCGCGGUAAUACGGAAGGUCCUAGCGUUGUUCGGAAUUACUGGGCGUAAAGCGCAUGUAGGCGGAACAGAAAGUUAGAAGUGAAAUCCCUGGGCUCAACCUAGGAAUUGCUUUUAAAACUUCUGUUCUGGAAUUCAGGAGAGGAAAAUGGAAUUUCCAGUGUAGAGGUGAAAUUCGUAGAUAUUGGAAGGAACACCAGUGGCGAAGGCGAUUUUCUGGACUGAUAUUGACG